ACUCCGAACAGUCUAAUACACACAAUUCACUGGGUCAUCAGUGCACUCGAAGUUAUGCUUGUGUCAUAUGAAAGCAUUUCAUCUCAGUAGUACAGCACACCUAAGCAGGUCUUACCAACACAAGAUCCAGCGCCAGAGCGCUGAAACAUGGCUGUUCUUCAGGUCAACUCGCACCUCCGUCAAGGUGGGGGAGCACCUUGCUACCGAAUUUGUCAGCCACAUUUCAGGCGCUCAAAGCUCAGAAAACGCAAACUAUGAAGAAGAUGAGCCAAAACGUCGACCCAAGAGAGUGUGGACAGAUGAGCAGAGACGAGCAGUUGGCGAGAAAAUGAAGAAGUACUGGGAAGAACGGAAGAAAAAGAAACACCAUAAGUCUUAAGUUGUAUGCGGUCCAUAGCUGGCCAAAUUCAUAAAAAAAUUAUAGUUACACCAGCUUCUUUGCCACACUAUUGGUAGCUCGAUUGGUAGAGGGGUGAAUUGUAGAGUACAAAAACAUGAUGUCUCUAGGUUGCUGGUUCGAAUAUAGCGUGCAACUAUCUUUUAACUUAUUUAGAAAAGAAAUCGACAGUCCUUUCAUAUGAAAACCAAAUUGCAACUGAGCCAUGCGCAGCUCGCGGUCAUGCCGUUUAUUGCUUGUCAUCCUGUUUUUGUGGUUCUGUCGCCUCGUUUUUUUCUUUCAAUUCGAUUUACUGGUUGGUUUGCUUGCCCGUGAGUGGCAGCAGCAGCGCUUAUCGAUAAGUGCAUUGUCGUACAAUCUCUAGAGCACCUGCCAGGUUAGCCGAGAGCUCUGCUGGGCUGCUUCCUGGACUCGGGGCCCCCCGGAUUAACGACGAGGGCCGGUGUGCCGCCCAGCCAUGGAUGUGGUUUUUAGGCGGUUUUCCACAUCCCUCUAGAUGAAUACCGGGCUAGUCUCCACGUCCUGCCUAAGUUACAUGUUUCACAGACAUUUGAAACACAUCCAUACUUUUCCAUAGUUUACACUAGACGCAGACAGAUGGGGUCCUCUGAUUCCGUCCCGGGGGAUAUGGGGUGGUGGCAGGAAGGGCAUCCGGUCACCCCUUCAAAUUAACAUGCCAAAUCCGAUUUAAUCACGCCAACCCCGCGCAAAAUGCGGGACACAGGCACAAGCGAUAGUACAGUCUCUAGAGUGACCGCUAGUAUUUCCAGGUCGUCGUCUGUGAGAGUUGGUCCGGGCGCAGCAGCGGUGAAGUCGGGGACGGAGCACCAGUGAGGUGCGAACAGCCAGUGCUCGCCGACCUCUGGCGACACACAUGAACUGUCCGACGGAAGGAGAUUGGAGCGGGACGACACUUGGUCGGUCGUUCGGUUGGUCGUCUCAUCGUCCGACGUCUAUUUGGUCUUUUGAGCGUUUCUGGGCCUCGUCAGUUGGUCAUCUUGCUGGAGGUGGGUCGAUUACUUCCUUGCGCACAGGUCUCAUGGCCAAUGGGCAAGAGUUACCUCUACAUGGUUGGGUCCGAGCUAGUGUGCCCGGCUCGCCGUGUCUCCGAGCUUCGAACGGAGCUUGUAGUUGAGUCAGGUUGGAGCUGUAGUCAGCUUCUGAAGGCCAAGGCUCGCCCGACCGUCGCCGACAUGGCACUUGAGUGGGAAUGACCUGGAUUGGUCGUGUCAUCGGAUGACGUGUAUUUGGUCGCCGACCGCUUGUGGAAACUCUGUGUGUGUCGAAUUGAUUCGUCCUUGUUGUUCCACAGUGAUUGCUUUUACGACUGUUCGAGUUCUUGUGCAAGAGUGUUUACGUCGAACUGUGUGUAGCUUCUGUGAAUUCCACCGAGCACAUGAAUUCUGCCUGCGUACUGGAAUAGGCAGUUGGUCGAUUGCGAUAGAGGGAAUUGAUUAGGUUGUUGGUUCUUCAGCCGUCCCUAGGUCGUGUUGCAACCCGGUUGUUUAGUGUUACACUUGGCUGUCUUUCUCACCUACACUGUGCUUAGAGUUUCCUCCCCAGGCUGACUCUUGGAGCACUUCUGAGCACCACUUUGUUGUUUGUGAUUGUCAUUUUAUUUGGUCGCAGGUACUGUGUCAGGCCUUCAGCCGUGUAUAAAUAUUGUCUGUUUUAUGUUUAGUAUAUGCCUUUCAGGCGAAAUUUAUGACAACUAUUUCAAGAUUAGGCCUUCAGCCGUGUUUUAUUUAAAAUUCUUGUUGCUCUGUUUUAAGGCCUUCAGCCGCGUUUGUUCAAAUGAUUGAAAUGGCUCUGAGCACUAUGGGACUUAACAUCUGAGGACAUCAGUCACCUAGAACUUAGAACUACUUAAACCUAACUAACCUAAGGACAUCACACACACCCAUGCCCGAGACAGGAAUCGAACCUGCGACCGUAAGGUCGCGCGGUUCCAGACUGAAGCGCCUAGAACCGCUCGGCCACACUGGCCGGCGCCGCGUUUGUUUCAGAAUUUGUGACUUAAAUAUGUAAAUCCUUGUCUGUAAGGUUUCUCCUAAAUUAUCUUGAAUUCUUGAAAUGGUCUUCAGUCGUGUUCUGUAAAUGUUUAUCUUAAGGUAGUCUUUGAUUAUUCUAGAGUAAUUGUUUGGGCCUUCAGCCGACAAGAUACUUCAAGUUCUAUUAAGAUAUUUUUCUGUUGUACUGUGUAAAACCUUAUUUUUAAAGCCUCUCUUUUACUAUGCAAACUUUUUUUAUUAGGCUUACAGCCGAAGAAUUAAUUUGAAUUUUCCUUAAUAUGGCCUUACCCGAAAUUUGCAAAUGCCUGGCUUUUAAAGAAGUUCCUUAGCCGAUCUGAAAUAGUAUUUCAGCCUUCAGCCGAGAAUAUAUUCUAAUUUUACUUGAGUAAGGCCUUCAGUCGUUACUCUAAAUCCUGCUGCAUUAAAAUUAAUCAUUUAGACUUAUUCUGCAGAAUAUACUUGGGCCCUCGGCCGCGAAUUGAUCUUUGUGGUUUUAGAGAGAAAACUGUCCAUUGGUUUGAGGAAUAAAGUUGUGUGUGUUAUUGUAUAACAGUAAUUGACCGUGACCCCUUUCAAUAACCUGAUCCGUUCUGUCCUGU